GUAAAUGGUCACAUUUGUACAGCGCUUUUCCACCUUCAUUAGGCUUUACAUCAAGGAACCACUCACACAUUCACGCUGUCACUCAUACGCCAGUGUCACACACGGGGUGAAGUGUCUUGCCCAAGGACACGACGCCAGUGUCUUCGUGUCUGUCAAAUGUCCGGCUGUAUUCUUUAGUUUGCCUGGAUGUCUGAGCAUGUUUAAACUCGAGUCAACAUUGAGUUAAUUUACUGAUUUAUCCGUUUCCUUUUUUUUCCCUUGGCAGUGCGGCCCGUCGAGGUCUCCCACUCCCUCACGCACAGACCCGGCCUCUGACGCUGCCCUCGCCGCGGAUAAACAAGGUUAGGCUGUUAACCUAAUAGCCCGCACAUGAUAGAUGGAGACGCGGCGCAGGAAAUGCGGGGAGGAAAUCUAAUUAGGUUUGUCACUUUGUUGUCCGCAGCGUCUGACAGACACCAGUCCCUGGAGCCGCGCGCUCAGAGCCCGCUGCCGCUGAAGCAAAAGACGACCUGCGCAUUAGGAAGCGCUGGGGAGAACGAGCGGGAGGCGGUGGUGAAAGGGCGCCCUCCGGUGGAUGAAGAGGGCAGUAUCACAAGUGAAGGUUCACAGAAAGGGCGAAUCACAGACGAGUCCAUCACCGUGGAAACGUGUCAGCAGGUUGUCACUGAGCUCCAGGACUGUCUCAGGAGGACCAUCCACUGCUACACAUCGGUUGUCGACAGCGGUCCAGACUUGACCAAAGACCAGCAGCGGAUGAAGAGCGUCCUGUCCACGGCGUUGCUCUCCGUAAAGACUGACCUACACUCUCUUCCGCCCCACAGUCCACAGCAGGGGGUCCACAGGGGGCAGAGCAGAGGGAGACUCCACCUCGGCUUUGUUGGAGCAAUACGCACUACUGCUGCUCCAGUCUGUCGAGAAGAAACUGGAAAACAAGGCCUGAAAGAGACACUUUAUUUGCCGUCCUAUGCAACACGCUGCACUAGAGGAGCACUAGUAUCGGUUAAAAUGACAUGAUUUUUACUCGUUUUGUCAACUUCUUAUUCUUUUUACUCUUUGGCUGCAUUUUUCAAAGACAUUUUAUCACUUAAAGUGUUUCACCUAAACCUUUUUCCUGUGGGUUUUGUCAAUAAUAAUAUGUUGUAUGUCGGAAUGAUGAAUGAAAGUUAUGAAGCGUGAGAGAAACUGCCUUCGGUUUUAACGUUGCACAAGCUCUUUUAUAUGUCUUUGAUUUUUAUUUGAUGAUUUUUAGGAUCACUGUGGCAUCCGUAGAUACUGAUUGAUCGAUUGUCUCUGAUGGUUUCUUAUUCAAAUAAAAUAAAUGAAAAAACUGCCAUGCUUUUAGUUGUGGGUGAUCAUUUUAAUUGGGGUGUGUUCAUGCGGCGUCGUAACAUUCUCACCCUCAUUGUCAGCGAAAUAUUAAGGGGGAUUCUUUAGUAGAAGAAGCUCAAAAUACAGAUGUUUGUGCUCAGUUCAGGUGGAGGUUAAAGAGGGGGUAUUAUGCUUUUUUCAAUCACAUAGCACCAGUCUAUAGCAUAC
rnacentral:lncRNA from 1 species